rnacentral:lncRNA from 1 species
AUGGCGAGGAGGGCUCCCCGCAAGAGGCGCCCAGGGGCAUCGCCAGGCCCCUCGCAGAGCGGGGCCGCCUGCGAGGCCGCAGGGGAGGCAGCGGGGCCGAGCCACGGGUGCCUCCACGUGCAGGUUGGGCUGCAGGAGGUGAGGCACUCUUUGGAGUUAGUUCCUGGCUCUGCCAGCCAAGAGCCUGCAAGGCGGCAUGGCACGGCCACGGAAGCUGCAGGGACGGUCGUCAGCACUGCUCACCGUCUGGCAAGGGCCCUCGUGCUGCAGAGCCUCCUCAAGACUUGCACCUCUGCUGCGCAAAAGAUGACCCUGCACAAGAAGGAGUUCUUGAAAAUCUUCAUCGUGGUCUCAGUGACCCUUGCAGCAGCUGGCGCGCUUUGCUGCGGGACCUCGCGGCUGGCCUGGAAGACGGGGGCAAGGAAAGCGGCCCAGAAGCUGCUGGAAGAAAUGGAGUCUGUGCGCAUCCGGGGCUCCCGUGUGUCUUUUGGG